rnacentral:lncRNA from 12 species
UAUAACCACUUUUCUGUAGUUCUACCUGGUGUUGGUUUUAUUGAAUAAAACCCCUCUUUUUCCUUAGAUUCAGACGGCUGGAAAGGGAGUGUGUCUGGGCUGAGAAAGGACGCUUGGUGUUGCUGUGAGACACUGUGGGACUGAAUACAGCAGUGUGAAAUUCAGGAAGAAAUGUGCUUCAGUGAUGUCCAGUCUGUUCUACUGCAAGUUUGACAUCAGUAGAGACUCAAGAAGGCUACUUGUCAUUUCCCGCUGCAUGAAGUGAUAAUUG